GCUAUCUGGGUGUUUCCAGUAAUGAGGUCUCAUUCUGUUUCACAGCCAGCUGGUACUCUAUGGUAUAAUCGCCUUUAAGCAUUUGCCGUUUUCUCCCUUAGUUGUUUGCUCCUUCCAUUCUUGUGCACACAGGACUGUGCACGUAUGUAUGAUUAUUUCCUUAGAACACAUACUUAAAAGUGAAACUGCCACGCCAAAGGAGUCAUUUAUUCAACAAAUCCCCUUUUGAGCACCUACUGUGUGCAGGGCAGUUUCAGGCAGAGACUUUGGGGGGUCUAGAAAUACACAUAUCCCUCCCUACCUUCGUGGUGGUGACAUUCCAGUAAGGAGGGGUGUCUGCUUUUUAUUUUGAUAAAUGCUGCCACACAAAGGCAGACUUCCAUCAGUGGCCUCGGGAAUGAAUGCCCAUUAAUGGGCGGUGGCUCUGCAGCAAGGGUUUGGACGCUUGGGCCUUUGCUCUCAAACGAAUCAUCAGGGUAUGGGGCAGGGACAGUGCUCUGGGGGACGUCGGUUGGGGGAGACAGGGCUGGAACGUGGGCAGGAGGAAGGCAUGAAAGAGUCCAUUUAGUUCUUUUGCGGUGAACUGAAGAUUGAUUCACUUGACACUGACAUGAAAGAGUCCUUGUCGCACACACAAGGGGAGCGUGAGCGGUGGGAAUGAAGGGUUAACGACUAGACUGUGCAGCUCCAGGACCAUACCACUACGGUCAUGGGAGGUACCACAGGGGAGGGGUCGUGUAUUUCGGAAGAUACCAUUGUACUAGUGGAGACACGAAAGGUCUCCUCAUCCCGCGAGUGGAUCGGCCUCCACCCUAGACCGAGGAGAGAAUGGCUCUGCCUGGACCGACCCCCGCGCCGGGCGGACCCGAUCUUCGGCCUAAAGCGUCCACCUGUCUGGAAGCCGCCGCCACCAAGCUUUUAUUAAUAUAUCCGUUCCCGCCGGGUUGGCUAUACAGAUGCGAAUCAACUCCGGGGGUGGGGUGAGGAGGAAGGCCGCGGAGCGGCGAUUGCUUCCUGGACGAGUUGCGUAGGGCGGGACAAAGUCUUGCCCUGAGCUCUGAUUGGUCACCGCGAGACUGCCUACCUAAGCUCUUCCAGGGUACCGAGGUUUUCCGGAAUCACUAAGAGGCUACAGGCCGGGUCCUUCGGCUCCGCGUUCCUAUUGGCUGCUGUUUCGGCGCAAGCGCUUUGGCUCCUGGGUUGGCGUUCAGGGUUGCCGAGGCAGGGCUUUGGCUACUGGAGAUCGUAGGUUCGAAUCCCGUCUGGGAAGUUCAACUUGUGCACCUGUAAAAGAAGCUGGCAUUAUUGGCUUGUACUCAAGGGCUGGCACAGAGUGUGUCGGGGUGCGGACGCCCCAGCCACGCCCAUCAUCCGUGCGGAAGAUGCAGAGGUCAUAUCGGAUACCCUUCUGUACCACACGAUUUGGGCAGUCAUAGCCGCAGCGGCAGCGGGAGUUGCACUCGUAGAUGGGCAGCCCGGCUCGAAGCCGCACCUGGCCCUGGUCAUUGUAGGCAAACUUGUGCAGUGACGCCCCCGGGCAGCAGCCUCCAGUGGGUGCCCACAGACAGUCCUGGCACUCGCAGCCCACAGCCACCUGGUUGAGGGUGAUGCCCUCACCAACACGGUACUCAUUGAUGUACACGAAGGCCCGCGGAGGGCCGUCCAGGUCCACCUCAUUCUCUACAGUGAUGCGUCCCAGAUGGCUGCGCUUGGCAUUGAGCUCCUGCUCCCAGCGACGGAGCGCCCGCCUCUGCUUGGCCUUCUGCACCAGGUAGUUGGCCAAGCUUGGGUCCAGGUGCCGGGGGGUCUUUGACCGGUGGUGCCGCCGGAGCAGCUCCCUUUCUAAGUCCUUGUGGAACUGCUUGAGGAUACGCACACACUUGAGAUUCUGCCGUGGCUCCCAGGUGCUCUCUGAGUCUGGAUAUCCACGCCAUUUCACCAGGUACUCGACUUCAAAGUCAUAGAGGUUCCUCUUAGAGAUACCGAGGGCAGGGCAGGAGAGCUUGGCCAGGCGGCACAGGUCCUGCAGCUGAUUCCAAGAAGACUUGCAACACACGCUGCAGCCUGGAUCAAGCGGGGCAGAAAGAACUAUUACUGGGCAGCCUGACUAGGCCAGGAGUCAAAGGGGACCCCAAAUCCUCCCUGGGACAUCCCAAAGACUGACUAAGAGUCAGGGAAAUUUAAUCCACAGGCCUUCCCCAGUGCUGAGACUGUUCUACAACAGAAAUGUGCUUUGAACCCCAAUACUCACUGCCCAAAGCUGCCCCUGGAGCAGCAGACCUCUAAGCGGGGUUUGCAACAUGAAUUGUCCUAAAGGAAUCUAUUUCCAGAGCUUCAAACUCCAUGUCAUUCCUAAAACUGCCUGCAAACCUGCUUUGGGUUCAGGACCUGAUCACCCCUCUCUCCACUUUGCAAAAGAAAGAGAACAACCCCCCAUCUCAGUAGGAUGCAGUGCCCCGAGGUGGGGCGGAUGGGAGGACAAGAUUAAAACCUCCAGGGCACCAAACAAAGGCGUAACUGGAAAGACUGGUCUUUAAUCCCUUAUCUCAAACUCCUGGGCCAGAUGUGUUUUGGAAUUCAAAAUUUUUUGGAUUUUACAAGACUAGUUCUAGGAUAUCCCAUACAUCACCUAACACCCCCAGCGUGGCCAGGGGACAUCAAGCUAUAAUCAAAUGCAUUAACCGUCCUGCAGCAAAAGUAUGAAUUUCCCACAUUAAAUAGGAGAAAUAGAGAUAUAAAAUAGCCUCACAGAAGAGUUCCACUUUAUAAUCUACUUUUGCCAUAAAUGGUGCCAAAUUUAAGAAAAGGAUUUCAGUUUUCAGGGCUUUUUAGAUUUCGGAAUUAUGAGCAAGAGAUUGUGGAAUGAUACUACAUUACAGGAAGGCUCCUUAAAUGAUCAAUCUGGGUGCCUUAAAUCCACAAGGUAUAUUUUUUCACACUGCAUUUUGACUUUCUGUCUCAUCCAUCUUUCUGUGAAGAGUAAAGCUCAUCCAAAGGGUUAUGCUCUGAAUUUAUACGCAAAGCGGUACAGAUUAGUGACACUGAUUCUUUUAAAUAUACCUGGUAUAUUUCUGGGACUGCCAAAAUUUUGUAAGACACACGGAUUUUAAAAAACAGAUUUCUUUCUGAUUCAAGGCACAUUCUUAAUCAAAGUACUUUAGAAGCCAUUUUAUCAAAUCAUGUCUCAAAACAUUCCAAGGGCAGUCAGUCCUCAUCCUAUAUCAUCUUUUUAAAAUGUUUAAUAUUUUCUGCCUCCCAUUGCAAAAAUCACACCUAAACUUUAGAUGUCAACCUAAAAACGUACAAGAGCUUUUCAAAAUUAUUUCGUGUGCAAGCCCUACCCCCCCUACUUAGGCAAGACCAAGUGGAGACUGAGCCCGCCUGUGCCCACGCUUUCCUCUCCCUACAGCCUGUCCUCGCAAACCCCUUCCUUCACUUGCAUUUGAAACCCCACUUAAGUGGUCCCAAUUAACACCCUCCAGCUGCUGGCUCCGGAACUGGCCACAGGUGGACUCUCCUGAACCCCUCAGAGGUCCUCCCACUUGUGGAACCCAUCCUCCCUGCGGCUUUCGUCACAUAGAGGGGCCCCCCAACAUAACUGAGUCACCCCUCUUUCCCUGCACAUGGGGGAGUCCAGCUGUCCUAUUAGGAAGGCCCCAUUUCUCUCUUCUGGGAGAUCCUCUAUUCCAAACCCUUCCCCCAUCACGCCGAGAGGCGAUACUUUCCCCCAGAAGAGUUCUCAGUCCCCGCACUCUGAAGGGGGGGUCUGUCCCCCUUAUCUUCCCUCCCCUUCCGGCGUCUCGCGUGGACACCGAAUGGGUAACGGUCACCAGGGGCCGAUUUUCCCGCGCGCGGGCGCGGCCUCCUCGACAAGCCCCCGCGCGUGCGCGCGCCGGUCCGGCCGCGAUCUGCAGCGCGCGCCCCCCUCCUGCGUCCCCACUUAGCCCCAGGCCCGCUGCGUUCCGAGGCGCGCGCCCCCUCCCCUGAGCCCCGCCCAGCCCCGCGCACCAGGCCCGCGCUCCCCGAGCCUCAUCCUUUCCGCGCCGAGCUUCCGGCUCCCGGCGCCGGGGCCUCGGACGCCGGGGCCCCGAGCCGGCAACGCCACCCCUCCAGCCCACCCGGCCCGGCCAGCGGGCCCGCGCCUCUGCCUCCACUGCUUCACCUUUUAAAUUUUCCGCCAUCUUUCCCCACGGCUAACGACAUUCGGGCCUA
rnacentral:lncRNA from 1 species